GCCUCUGCGCCUGCGCUCUCGGGCAGCUGCAGCGGCCACCUGGAGAGCAGUGAAGCCAGUGCGCCGCCCACCUGGAAAGAUUCUCUCUAGAUCCAAAGAAAAACAAGAGGGUUCUUUUUGCCUUCUACUCCUCAAAACACACCAGCAGCUCAGCAAUUGGAGGGGAGGCUGAAGGACAAAAACAUUGCUAUCCCAUAGAGCAACGGUAUAAGAGCCAAUAGAGACUCCUGGCGCUGGAAGUCACGGAUCCGAAAGAAGGCGCCCAAUCAUUUGGUUUCUUUGGAUCGUUAUUGAGUCUUCUGUCAUCAUAGUUCACCCUCCUACUCGAAUGCCUCCCGUGGGGCCCUUACCCUUGCUCUCCUCUGCCUGGAAUGCCCGCCUCUUCUUGCAUUCAAGCCCCUGGGUUCUAUUCAGAUGCUCCAGUUACAAAUGAUAGAUCCAAAAUUGUCUUCUGGAAGAAACAUCACAAAACUUCAAAGAAAUUAGAAAAAAGUUACCUACAUAGGCAGAGAAUUCAACUGUGAGUUGACAAUUAUUUACGAUUCUCUUAACUGGCUGUUUCACAACGUUAUGGAGCUAAGAAAGGAUGAAAGCUUACCACUGCUUGGAUACCAGCUUGAUAAGCAGCUUGGAAUGUCAAAUAUAUAACAAGAAAGGAAAUAUUCUACUUUAAAGGAACAUGUUGUCACAGAAAGAACAAUGACCCAUGGGCACAAGAGAAGCACAGAAACAAGAUGAGAUAAAGCUUGAAGACGUUUAGCUCCACCAACGUCGACAGAGAGCUUUCUGGAAGCUGUAUGAAAACCAACUUUACAACACAAAGCCAGUACUAGCAAUAAUACUCCACCCUGCUUCUAGUUUUCCUCAAGACUUGAAACAACUCUGAUCUAUUCCAAAAGGAUACGGUGUUCAGCCAUUUUAGCCAUGAGAUCAUCAUUGUCAAAAAGCAAUAAACAGAUCACAGCAAUAAUGAAAAAAGCAGCUCCCCUUGUCUGAAAAUAAAGAAAACAACAUCAAGGAUGA
ensembl:lncRNA novel transcript